rnacentral:rRNA from 1 species
GACGUAGGGCGCGAGCGUUGUCCGGAUUUAUUGGGCGUAAAGAGCUCGUAGGCGGCUUGUCGCGUCGUCCGUGAAACCUGCAGCUCAACUGCAGGCUUGCGGGCGAUACGGGCAGGCUAGAGUUCGGUAGGGGAGACUGGAAUUCCUGGUGUAGCGGUGAAAUGCGCAGAUAUCAGGAGGAACACCGGUGGCGGAAGGCGGGUCCUCUGGGCCGAU